UACUUAUUUAUUUAUUGCCUUUAUUUUAAAACAGGUAUCAGACUCCAGUAGUUGCCCAUUUAUUUUAAUUUAGAUACUGAGUGUUCUUCUCCAAAUCCUAAAGCCCAAAAUCUGCUGGCAGUUCAGGACGCGGCUCCUGCUCAGACUUCCUGGUGCGUCACCCACAGCAGAUAGCAGGGCACAGGGCUCCCUCUUCCCAGUGGGACCUUCCGUCUUUCCCCUCUAUACAGCUUUUUCUCCCAGUCCCUACGGGGAGAAGUAAAUUCUUGGACACACUAUCCAAAGCAAAAAGCCAUGCCCAUGAGCUGUUCAUUCUGACUAUUCAUGGAGAGACACCAGGCAAUUGAAAUGAGAAAAUCCCACUGUGCCCCUGUGAGCCUUGGGGCUGCUGACUUUGGUGGCUUGAGUCCCAGGGUGCCAUUGUGGCCUCCGCCAGGUCCCCCAGGGCCAGGACCUCUCCCGGCCAAAGUCAAGAAGAGGCUUUGACCUCUCUGAACCUCUGACCUCUCUGAACACCUCAUCUUACUCGUAGUCCUUUGCUUGAUGUUUAUUUUCCUGACCACACUCUACCUUCUGCAGGGCGUCUGCCACCCCCAUCCCCCAUCUGCCUGCUUCCUUCCCUGUUGUAUCAUAUCUUUGGUGCCUAGCCAAGAACCCAGCCCAUGGUAAGCACCCCAAAAAUGUUUAUCCCAUGCCAGGAUGGACCCAGCCUUCUCUGUGCUGACUGCCCAAGGAGGAAAUGAAAUGACUCUGAACAUAAAGAGUAUCAAACUCAUGAAGAAGCGGACUUUUACCCCUUGGAGUUUCUAUUUCCAUGUAGCGACUUGUCUAUUCAUCCAGCUUCAAACGUACCUUCCCAGUGAGAGGCUCAAGUGUCUGGGCACAGGUAACCAGGCAGGAAAGGGAGGUAGGUGUGGGAGCCUCGGUGGUGGAGGUGAAGCCAAUGAACCUGCAAGCCAUUAAGGCCUUAGUGAAGGCCAGUGUGAAUUUUCUUCUGGACAAAGAGAGGGGAGUCCAGCAUCUGCUCUCGUUCCUUCAGAAUGCUUGAUCAGUACCCACUCCUCAGAAGAGAGCCAAAAGAAACAGGGGUCUAGGGACCAGCCCAGAGGUCUCAGAAUUGGCUUAGGGACCCUGGAGAUCUGGAAGAGCAUGAGAUCACAAAAUACAAUAAAAUCAUAAAACGUCAACUAAGCAGAAUAUGAAACUUGGUGCAGAAGAAGAAUGAAUAUUCUUUUUUUAAGAAUUGUUUUUAUUAAAAAAUUUUUUUAA